rnacentral:lncRNA from 1 species
GUUCGGAAGCAGCCACGACGCCGCCUCCGCUUCCUCCCGGCUGACAUCAGCGUCUCCGUCCACGUCGGAGAAGUAACGCUCCUCCAGAAACUUAACAACUCCGUUGGGUUUGACGGCUGGGACUGAAUUGACGGAGUCGUAGAAGGGGGUUACAGGGAGGCGCUCGUGUCGGCUAGCAAGAGGGUUGGCGGAGUGGAUGUCACGGUCGCAGGUAAUACAGAGAGCGGCUGCAUCGGCCUUGCAAGUGACGUGAGCGGGUGCUUGCUCGCAGACUUCACAGACCCAAACUCGAGCGUGACGCGAGGCGAGCUUGUUGGCUGCGUGGAUUUUG